rnacentral:rRNA from 1 species
CGCGGGAAUUCGAUUAGAGUUUGAUCAUGGCUCAGAUUGAACGCUGGGGGCAGGCCUAACACAUGCAAGUCGAGCGGUAGAGAGGUGCUUGCACCUCUUGAGAGCGGCGGACGGGUGAGUAAUGCCUAGGAAUCUGCCUGGUAGUGGGGGAUAACGCUCGGAAACGGACGCUAAUACCGCAUACGUCCUACGGGAGAAAGCAGGGGACCUUCGGGCCUUGCGCUAUCAGAUGAGCCUAGGUCGGAUUAGCUAGUUGGUGGGGUAAUGGCUCACCAAGGCGACGAUCCGUAACUGGUCUGAGAGGAUGAUCAGUCACACUGGAACUGAGACACGGUCCAGACUCCUACGGGAGGCAGCAGUGGGGAAUAUUGGACAAUGGGCGAAAGCCUGAUCCAGCCAUGCCGCGUGUGUGAAGAAGGUCUUCGGAUUGUAAAGCACUUUAAGUUGGGAGGAAGGGCAUUAACCUAAUACGUUAGUGUUUUGACGUUACCGACAGAAUAAGCACCGGCUAACUCUGUGCCAGCAGCCGCGGUAAUACGAAUCACUAGUGAAUUCCGGCCGCCUGCAGGUCGACCAUAUGG